GGUCAUCACCUUCUCUUCAGCCACGCUGCCUCCAUCUUCAGUUUCACUCUGCCUGGAUCUCAGCCAUUAUCCUCUCACCACUGCAGCAGGAGCUUCACAUCACUGUUUCAUCAGCUGGUACUCAAUAAAGCCCGUCUUUGUGAGAAGAUAUGUCGGUUCCAGAGCUUCUCCUCGAGACUCUGGAGGAGCUGGGCAAGGAUGACUUCAACAUGUUUAAGUGGUACCUCUCGAUGAAGAUCUUGGACAACUGCAAACCAAUUCCCACGUCCCGUCUGGAACAGAUUCCCCGGACAGAAACUGUGAGCAGGAUGAUAGAGAGCUACGGCGAAAAUUCAGCUGUGGACAUCACUGUUGUGAUUCUGAGGAAGAAGAUGAAUCACAACAACGCUGCGGAUGAGCUAGAGAGAAGAUACACAGCAGGGGCAGGAGCAGCAGGGGGGGCAGCAGCUAGACCCUCCUCCACCUCCUCCUCUGCUGCGGUGCCUACUGCUCCUCCUGGUGCGAUGGUAGCUCAGCAGGGAGCCAUGAUCAUUGCGCCAUCAAUCACCGGUAGCACCUGUAAAGCAGUGAAUAUAAACAUCCAUAAAUAAACUGGGCUGUGUUUAUUAAUGUUCAGUUUUUGUUAUAUGAAGACAUAUUUUUUGUCCUUGUCAUAGGACUUAAAGAACUUACAUCUGUUUACUACUAUAUCAUAGUGUGUCAUAAACCAUUAAUUCAAAGUUUAUAUCAGGUUUAUACAUGCUUGAACGUUUAUCAUUGAAUGAGCCAGUAUCUGUUGCUGUUUUUAAAGUCGAGAACAGAGCACAAUCAAGUCAUACGAUGACCACGAGCAAUACCAUGACUUUAUAUACAUUUUCCAUGCAAUGGUGCUUUUAAACAGUACAAAAUUAAAAAAAACUGAUUUCAAAUGUGCUUGAAAAUACUUUCUAUACAUUCUAAAUAAACAAUGAAAACAAGCAGUGUAGUCUGUACUUUCUUUUUACAUUACUGUAUAUAGUGGUUAAAUAUUUGUGUACUUCACAGGAGUUUAUCAAGAGUGCUCACAAUAAAAAAAUGUGCAAAGUUAUAAUCUGUACAAGUUUGAUCCUGUACUGACUCUGCCAGUAACGCUUUCAUACACAGUAGAGAGACAGUUACAGAGAUACACUGCAUUACUAUCGCUAAUGUAGACCAUAAAUGCUGUCAAAUGUGUUGUGAUACAAUGAAUAUCUAAAGCAUUAUCCAAGUGUCCACUGUGGCAGUGAGCCAGCAAGAGCAGUAUCAGCACAAUGAAACUGAAGCAGCAAAAUGGAAUUCAGCCACAAACAUUUACACCAGAGCUAACUGUGUGACUGAGACACAUUUUUAAGUGUUGAUCCUCCAAACAGUACCCAAAUAGUGUCAGCAGGUGGCGCUGAGGCCACACAGACGUGACCUCAUAAGGUCUCUGUGCUGCUGUAUCAAACCUCCAGUUCUCAUUUCACAGAGGCAGAUAUGAGACAGCUUCAGUGUGGAAACAACUGCGAGAUCAUUAUUUAUAGUUAAUUUUAUGUGUCUGUUUGGUUUUUUGGGAGUGAACUUAUAUCAGACAUCAUAUGCUUCUUUAAAAACAGUUUAAAAUGAAUCCAACCGGUAGAGAAGUGAAAGUGAAGCUGGAUGUGGUUUCCUUCCCAUUUUUAUGACGUAAUUAAAGCGUGAUUGUAUAAUUUUUGCAGGGAUUGCUGAAAUGGUUUCAGAUGCUCAUCAACAAUUUUAUCAGUUCAGUUAUUGUGACUCACAUCUGAUAUUUUGGCUAAAUGACCUUUUGAUGGCUGUCCUCUCUAAGCUUUGGUGCAGCCAUUGUUAUCUCAUUCCAUAUUGCUGUUAUGCCUACUAACCCAGAGAGACAAGGACUCUUGAAGCUUGAAGUUAUUCAUUUCUAUUUUACCUUUUAAGAAUUUCUGCAGACAAUCUAUUCUUUUCGAUUUCUUUAUUUCUCUUGUGAGUUUCUUUAUAGAAAAGACAAAAAGAAAAGAAAAAAAGAAAAGAAAAAGAAAUAGACGGAGUAGUCUUUGUACCAGUUUUGCCUGCUAAUUUGUACAUUUUUUAAAAACUAUAUAUCUAAAAAUGUAACUUUACGUAAGAAAAAUAAUUACUCAAAAUAUUUGGCUCUAUAAGCAAUAAGCAUCAGUCAAACAGGAUAUAUAACUUUGAAAACAACAACUGGUCAACAGGAAGAAGCCUGAUUUAAAGCACAAAGAGAGACAUGAAAAUGUCAUUUUCUUGUGGGAAAUGUCUCGUUGUGGCCAGCAGACGUGCUUUGUCUCGCUUUGAGACGUGAUAUUUAAUAAGAAAUCAGUCUUGUUCUGUGAAACGUGAACUUGAACUUGUGUGUGCUUGUGGUUUGCAGUUGUCAGACAGUCUUAAGUUAGAAACUAAAAGUAGUCUAUAUCACCCCACAAUGUUGCUGUACUUUCAGUAGAUUCACUUCUGUCAGGACAGCUGUCUAAUCACUGGAGCCACUACGGUAAGACAUUCACUGAGAUAUUAUAGAAAACAAAUCUGAUUUAUAGUCCAGGUCUUACAAUAAAUCAAGUCAAAGAUCUCACAAUGACGCUUAAACAUCAUACAAUGCAAAACAAUAUAAUGACUAUAUAAUAAUUAUUUUAUUUAUAUCAUUAUUUUCCAAUAUUCAUCAUCAGCGUUUGCUUGUUGUUGUUCGUGUCUUUUUCUUUUAACCUGAUAUUCAAGUUAGUUUUUUUUUGUGUGUGUUAUUAAAAUUGGAGGUAAACAUUUUAAAAAGACAAAUGUUUGGUAAUAAAUAUCUAACCUACCAAGCAGAAAAGGAACUGUUCUACAGUCAUGUGCAUAUGUUGCUUAUAUGUAACAACAACUUAAUCAUUUUUGUUAUUUUUGCCCUCGUGGUUAUGAGUAAAGAUACAGACAGGAAACAUGGGGGAAGAGAAAGCAUGAGCAUGCACACCUUGUACAGAUAUUAUGAGAAGUUAUAUUAAUAAGAACAUUUAAUCUAUGUAUUGAUAGAUGACACUUGUAAAAUAAUGUCUUCUAAAGGUGAUUGCCAAAAGAAUACAUUUAAACUUUGACUCAUGACUUUCAUGCUGAAUUGGAGUUCACUUUCAACUGAACAUAAAAAAUUGCAAAAAGUGGUUUAAUGUGCAAACUGAAAUCCUAUUUC
rnacentral:lncRNA from 15 species